rnacentral:rRNA from 1 species
UACGUAGGGCGCAAGCGUUAUCCGGAAUUAUUGGGCGUAAAGAGCUCGUAGGCGGUUUGUUGCGUCUAUCGUGAAAACCUGGGGCUCAACCCCGGGCCUGCGGUGGAUACGGGCAGACUUGAGUUCGGUAGGGGAGACUGGAAUUCCUGGUGUAGCGGUGAAAUGCGCAGAUAUCAGGAGGAACACCGGUGGCGAAGGCGGGUCUCUGGGCCGAUACUGACGCUGAGGAGCGAAAGCGUGGGGAGCGAACAGG